AGAAUUUAGCCAACAUGACAGUUGAAGGGAAUCCACAGCACAGACUUAAAUAAAAUAUGUGCUCAUUAAGCAAAUAUCCAUGGAGAGCUGGCUGUUAGCCCGCACUGAGCAAAGUACAAGGUGACUUCCCCGGUGGUGCAUGGAAGAUAGACAAGAGACCAGCCAGACUGCGGCAGGCACUCAGCCUUGUCCGUACAGAACGAGGUAGAGGACAAACCCUGCCGUCUUUGUCGAAGCUCUCUGCUGCCCCCUGGCGGACACAGCAUUGCGCGCCUUCGCGUUGCUAUUCCAGCCACCCAGGGAGCCCGCGGGUCGCUCCAGUGCUCGCUGCAGAGCCCUUUCACAAAUGUCCAUCAUUCGGUCCUCAUUUCCGCCACGUCGGCUUCACCUCGGUGGCCCUGAAGCGACAGCCCUGAGGCAAGAACGCCGGGUCCUGCCCUGUUCUCCCACUGCAAGAGGAGACCCGAGGCUCAGCCUACCCGUCCCAGUGCCCGGCCUUUUCUCUCUCUGGAAAGCCACCUAAGGAAUUGCAGCCCACUUCUGAAAACCCUCCAGCAUCUGCUGCACACUCUGGGUGAGGAGCAAGCCUGCCACCUUCCCAGCUCGCCUUGGAGAGCUCCACACCUAUGGAUUUAUUGUUGCUGUUGUUUCUGGUUUCUUUGCAAUAGGGUCUUGUUAAAGUUGCCCAAGCUGGCCUUGAAUGCACAAUCCUCCUGCCUCAGCCUCCCAGUCAGAGUGCUGGGAUUGCAGAUGUGCACUCCCACACCCGGCCUGGAGUUUUAAAUUUAUUUUUGCAUUGCCAGUGCAUUUCUCUGUCCAUUUUCCUGCUCUAAGACUUUUGCAGUAACUGUUCUGUGUGUGAAACCCUCCUCCCCUGUGGCAGUCUGGGUGACUCCCAUUCCAGGUCUGAUUCCCUCCCCUGCCUCUGUUUCCCCUGUUACUAUGGGGAUCAUCCCACCUCACCCCCCUCUCCUCCUCACUUUUCUGCCCCUCUGAUCAGACCUCAAGCCAGGGCCCGGAGGCCCACUGUGCCCCUGUCCUGUCCCCAGCGCCAGGUGCAGAGUGUGAAUUUGGUGACUGAAUAAGUGAGCACGUGGAUUAGUGAUGGGGACAAAGCCUGGGUGGGCGUCAGGCCUGUCCAGCCCCAACUGGGCCACAAGCUAGGUGACCUUGAAGGAGAGCCAUUCCCUCCCUGGGGCCCUGUGGUUUUCCCAUGGCGCUGGGUGCCUCUGAGGGGUCCUGCGUGGGACAGCCUUCCCCCCACCUUGAAAUGGCUCUGGGCACUGGCCACUUCCGGUGGACUCUUGGACCCCAGGGUCUUCCCUCCCAGACAGCCAGGAAGGGACAAGGGGACUCAGCUGGCUGGGUAUCCUCAGGCCAGGGUUAAUUUUUACACACCAGCUCAAAGUCCAGAUGGCCCAGUAGCCUCUCCCUCGCU
rnacentral:lncRNA from 1 species